rnacentral:rRNA from 1 species
AGAGUUUGAUCAUGGCUCAGGACGAACGCUGGCGGCGUGCCUAACACAUGCAAGUCGAACGGAGGUAGCAAUACCUCAGUGGCGAACGGGUGCGUAACACGUGAAGAACUUGUCCAUCGGCGGGGGAUAGCCGGCCCAACGGCCGGGGUAAUACCGCGUACGCCGGCUGGAGCGCAUGCUCCGGCCGGGAAAGCAGCAAUGCACCGAUGGAGAGCUUCGCGGCCUAUCAGCUAGUUGGCGGGGUCAAGGCCCACCAAGGCGACGACGGGUAGCUGGUCUGAGAGGAUGGCCAGCCACAUUGGGACUGAGACACGGCCCAGACUCCUACGGGAGGCAGCAGUGGGGAAUAUUGCGCAAUGGGCGAAAGCCUGACGCAGCGACGCCGCGUGCGGGAUGAAGGCCUUCGGGUCGUAAACCGCUGUCGCGAGGGACGAAACAAAUGACGGUACCUCGAAAGGAAGCACCGGCUAACUCUGUGCCAGCAGCCGCGGUAAUACAGAGGGUGCGAGCGUUGUCCGGAAUUACUGGGCGUAAAGGGCGCGUAGGCGGUUCGGUAAGUAGGAGGUGAAAUUUCGGGGCUCAACCCCGAAACUGCCUUCUAAACUGCUGGACUGGAGCACGGUAGAGGCAGAUGGAAUUCCCGGUGUAGCGGUGGAAUGCGUAGAGAUCGGGAAGAACACCAGUGGCGAAGGCGGUCUGCUGGGCCGUUGCUGACGCUGAGGCGCGACAGCGUGGGGAGCAAACAGGAUUAGAUACCCUAGUAGUCC